rnacentral:rRNA from 1 species
UGACGGUACCUGACUAAGAAGCCCCGGCUAACUACGUGCCAGCAGCCGCGGUAAUACGUAGGGGGCAAGCGUUAUCCGGAUUUAUUGGGCGUAAAGAGAGUGCAGGCGGUUUCUUAAGUCUGAUGUGAAAGCCUUCGGCUCAACCGAAGAAGUGCAUCGGAAACUGGGAAACUUGAGUACAGAAGAGGGCAGUGGAACUCCAUGUGUAGCGGUGGAAUGCGUAGAUAUAUGGAAGAACACCAGUGGCGAAGGCGGCUGCCUGGUCUGUAACUGACGCUGAGACUCGAAAGCAUGGGUAGCGAACAGGAUUAGAUACCCUG